rnacentral:RNase_P_RNA from 2 species
ACAGCGCAAAAGCCGCGAGGCUCGCACCGCACAGGACGUCUCGCGCGUCCACCCUCGCGAGCGGGCUAAGGUCUGAGUACUCUAAUCCCCCUCGAUCGGCCCUAGCUGGGUCCGGCCUGCACCAGCUGGCGCGACGUAUCAGAAACGCAGCCAUAUCCUGCGGUCAUGGAGAAGCUCGACACGAUGACCCGACACGCCAAACGCGUUCUAGGUAGUCGCAGGAAGGGAGGGACGGGAUAUGGCUUUGGGACACGUCGCGGGGAUAGGGCAAGCAUCUUGCAUGCAUCCGCGCCGCCGUGCGCUGGCCCUCAUCGUUGUCGCAGUACCCGCCUUCGGGCUGGGUGCCCAGGGAAACGUGCGUCCAAUUUACGGAUGCACGUCCUGCCAAACGGCAACGAGAGGUCCGUAUGUCCUCAUUGAGUGCGUGCAGUUGCCUGUUCAUCAGUUCACUUCGCGGCUCGCUGGGCACAGUUCCCGCGAAACUCGAUUCAGACUAUUCUUGCGCUGU